rnacentral:rRNA from 1 species
GCUUAGAUGAGGGGUGAUAACGAGGAAGCUUGCUUCCGAAGUGAGUGAUACCCUGCUUCCAGGAAAAGCCACUAAGCUCCAGCUACACACGACCGUACCGCAAACCGACACUGGUGCGCGAGAUGAGUAUUCUAAGGCGCUUGAGAGAACUCUGGAGAAGGAACUCGGCAAAUUGACACCGUAACUUCGGAAGAAGGUGUGCCUUUAGUAGGUGAUCCUGUACAAGGGGAGCCCAAUGAGGCCGCAGAGAAUCGGUGGCUGCGACUGUUUAUUAAAAACACAGCACUCUGCAAAGACGAAAGUCGACGUAUAGGGUGUGACGCCUGCCCGGUGCUGGAAGAUUAAAUGAUGGGGUGCAAGCUCUUGAUUGAAGUCCCAGUAAACGGCGGCCGUAACUAUAACGGUCCUAAGGUAGCGAAAUUCCUUGUCGGGUAAGUUCCGACCUGCACGAAUGGCGUAACGAUGGCCACACUGUCUCCUCCUGAGACUCAGCGAAGUUGAAAUGUUUGUGAUGAUGCAAUCUCCCCGCGGAAAGACGGAAAGACCCCAUGAACCUUUACUGUAGCUUUGCAUUGGACUUUGAACCAAUCUGUGUAGGAUAGGUGGGAGGCUUUGAAGCGGUGCCGCUAGGUAUCGUGGAGCCAACGUUGAAAUACCACCCUGGUGUGUUUGAGGUUCUAACCUUGGCCCGUGAUCCGGGUUGGGGACAGUGUAUGGUGGGCAGUUUGACUGGGGCGGUCUCCUCCCAAAGUGUAACGGAGGAGUUCGAAGGUACGCUAGGCACGGUCGGAAAUCGUGCUGAUAGUGCAUAGGCAUAAGCGUGCUUGACUGCGAGACUGACAAGUCGAGCAGGUGCGAAAGCAGGUCAUAGUGAUCCGGUGGUUCUGUAUGGAAGGGCCAUCGCUCAACGGAUAAAAGGUACUCUGGGGAUAACAGGCUGAUACCGCCCAAGAGUUCAUAUCGACGGCGGUGUUUGGCACCUCGAUGUCGGCUCAUCUCAUCCUGGGGCUGUAGCCGGUCCCAAGGGUAUGGCUGUUCGCCAUUUAAAGAGGUACGUGAGCUGGGUUUAAAACGUCGUGAGACAGUUUGGUCCCUAUCUUCCGUGGGCGCUGCAAGAUUGAGAGAGCCUGCUCCUAGUACGAGAGGACCGGAGUGGACGCACCUCUGGUGUAUCG